GAGCCGAAAUCAAGAGUCAGACGCUCAAGCGACUGAGCCACCCCGGCACCCCAAGAUAAUACGAUGUUUUCAAAACAGAAGAAUGAAAGCCUUCAGUUGCUGUGCAGUGCUGUUGGGACAGCAUGCUGUUGACGCGGCCUCCGAGGCCCUGCCUGGGCUAGCUCGUGCCUGGCCUCCGAGAGUUAGGGUCCGCAGGACCAGCCGCGGUGGGUACCUCCCUGUGUUCCUGACAAGACUCAAGCUUGGUAACUUUGUAGGACACUCUCGGGGCUUCGAAGACCUCUGUCUGUGCCAUUGGCCGUCCCUUGAUUUGUUUAAAUAAUUCCCUGCCUGACUGACGACUUAGGGAGCAAGGAGCUCGCGACGUCUUACGCUCCGUUCAGUUCUCUCUCCAGCACCUCGCCUCCCCUUAUGCAGCUGGCCUGUCGGCCCCAGGCCUCCCCUGAAACAGCCAAGGUCACCAGGGAUCUUCAUCUCACGGGUGCAGUAAACACAUUCAGUCGUCUUCCUUGGCCUUCCAGAAGCACGGAGAUGUUGCCUGUCCCCUCCUCGCGAUACACACUUUACACUUGACUUCGGGACAGCGCUCCAGUGGUUUCUUCCUCCUCCUCUGACCGCUCCUUCUCUUUGUCUCUGAAGGGCGUUCUUCGUCACCAGCCUUGACCUUGCCUCCCCAUGGAUUGAAGUUUUGUGUGUUCUUCCUGGAAGGUUUCUCUGGGCUCCAGAAAUGCACUGCCGAGCGCGACGUCCCAAACCGCGUACAGCCAUGGAAUGUGCCGGUGCAGCCAAGAAGCUAAGAUCCUAACUUUUUACGUUCUAUUGCCAGUGUGCUUAACAUACAGCGUUAGAUUAGUUUUAGCUGUAAACUGCUAAUUUUAAUUAGUUUAAUGUACAUGGCCCCGUGUGGGUCAUGGCUACAAUGCUAGACCGCGUAGGUACGGAAUACGUCCACCGUCACAGAAAGUUGCACUGAACGGGCUGGGGACCCUGUCCAGUCAUGUCCAGCUCCUGCUGGACGGUCCUCUUGGCCAUCUCAAAGCAUUGCAAGUGCGACUUGUCUAAAACCCAACCCAUGGCCCCUCUCCGCAGUCCCGGGCUUCUACGGUAUCUGCACGAGUGUUCAUCCGUUUUCUCAGGCCAGACACGCCCGAACCAUGCUCGACGUUCUUGUCCUCACCUCCGACACGCAUUCUGGCCGCGAGCUCUGUCCACUCGCCGUGUCCCCAGGGACACCACCACCGCUGUCCUUCGUGCUACCACGUGGGCUGGGGGACGGGCCGCUUCCAGCCCCUCCUUAACGCCUCGUCCAGGCCCUGAGUGUCUGUCCCCCUCCCCAGACCCCUCCCACUCUGAGACCCAGCUACAGCGUCUUUGCCCCCCUGGUGCCCCCAGUCCAGGCUGCAGCAUAGCCCCAAGGACCUCACCUGUCACCACUGCCUCUUCAGACUGGUUUGCAUCACCAGUGUCAUUCAGUUAAUGUGUCUCUCCCACAGGACCGCCAACGGUAGAGCAGGGACGCAUCCCUGUUUACUACUGACUCUUCACUACCUAACACGGGGCCCGGGACACGCUAGUGCAGGGUUAGCGUGCGAACAAAAGAGUGGACGAUGAAUGAUUUGGUCUGUCUGUAGCUCAUGUGGUCAGAGCCACCGCAGUAGUCAGCUUGCUUCCGUAACGGAAAAUCACGGACCAGGUGGCAGAAACUACAGGGACUUAUUUGUUCACAGUUCUGGAGGCCAGGAAGUGUAAGACCAAGGUGCCCGCCAAUGGUGUUCCCAGUACGAGGGCCCCACCCCCCGUGACUCACAGAAGCGUGAUUAUCUUCCAAAGGCCCCUCCUCCACAUACCAUCACGCUGCAGGUUAAGGCUUCAACACGGACGUACGAUUACGUCCAUCGUACAGACAGAGAAGCUAAAGCUUUGAGGCACAGACUCUCUGAUCCACUCAGUAACUACUAAGAACCACACGUGCCAGGACAACCCUAGGCCCUGGGGAAAUCGCGGUGAGACAGGCGGAUGCCACCCUGCCCUGACCUCUGGAUGCUCUCGCUCUCACCGAGGGUGACCGGUAAGUAGGACACGUGCUGGGAAGGAAUUAAGACGACGCCGUCGAGAUCAGAUGAGGUGAGUGUUUUAGAAAUGGAGGUCCAGAAAGUUCCAUCUGAAGGCAUGGCAUUUAAAGUGAGAUCUGAAUAAGGAACCGCCCUCAGCAGACUGGGAUGAACGGGCCGGGCCGGGCAGAGGGAACAGCAAAUGCUAAACCCUGGGGCAGAAGUGAGCCCAGCGCCCUGGGUGCAGAAAGCCCAGGGCGGCUGGCGGCUGGUGGAAGAUGUCACCCCAGGUCGUGUAGCUGAUAUCCAGCAGAGCUGAUGGUCGGAUCCACGUCUGCCUGAGGCCACACUCUGCCCCUCGGCAAACUGCCCAAAGGAACGAGCACGACAUUCCGUCUGCUGUCAUGGCCUGCUGUGUUUUUAAGUUAACUUGGGCAGAACCCCAGGAGGGGAAUUAAGAGUCAAAAUAGAGGAAAGCCGCACGCGGAAGGGCUUCCCUCGGACGGGACACACAAAGACAAACGAAGUGCCAGACCCGGCUUCGCGCCCCGGGCCUCACCCUCACCCCGUUAUUCACCCCUGCACCCCGCCCUGGGCCUCACCCUCACCCUGUGACGCGCCCUCCACGCUCAUCUUAGAUGAAACCCCAUGUGGGCCGCAGGGGAGGCAGCUCGGAUGCCUGAGGUCAGGAGUUCAGCUUGGCUUGAGGUCAACGGCCCCUCCAGGACCGCCUGGGAGCUCAGCCAGUUAAGCAUCUGACUUCCGCUCAGGUCAUGAUCUCACGGGUUCGUGAGUUCGAGUCCUGCAUGGGGGUGGGGGGGACGCUGUCAGCGCAGAGCUCUCUUCGGAUCCUCUGUCUCACUCUGCCCCUCCCCCCUCAAAAAUAAAGAAACAAACAGACAGACAAAACAAAACCCGUCCAGCUCCUCGCAGGUGUGGGCAGAGAACUGGAGUCUGGAGGCAACUCCAGGAGAGUGGGGCGGGGCAGACGGCUCAGGAGUGACAUAGCGGGAGUGCACAGGGGAGGCGGGGGCCAGUGACACGGGCGUUGUCAUGGGGUAGGAAUCCUGAGGCGAGUGUCAGGGCAGACGGCGGGCAGGAGUCACAGACAAGGAGGGCAGCAACACUCAGUGACAUAGGACAGCACGCACGGAUCCCAGAGACACGUGUUGUGCCGAUACGUCGCUGGGUCCGAUGAGUCCACUGCAAUCACAUGAGCCUGGGUCUCACCGGGGCAGCCACCAUCCCAAAGAAAGUUCACUUCUUCCCACAAGGCUGGGUGCCUUCUCUGGAUCGAGGUAUGCAGAUGUCACAGCGCAGCUGGGGCAGGAAGGUGAUGUCACUCCCCUGCUGAGAGCUGGCAUAAAAGGAGGAGCUUGUCCAGGGUGUGAUGUGUGUGACCCAUGGCUGGUGGGCGGACGUGCCUGUCCACCCCCAGGUCUGCAGAGGCAGCUCUUGGUCAGUGAAUGAGCCAGGAACCACAUCCCUGCAUGAUGUCAUUGGGAAAACCCCACUGAUGAUAAGUUCCAUGCCAGAUUCUGAGAGGACAGCACGUUGCAUCUUACUAAACUGUGCCAACACCCCUGUGAAAUCGAUGCAGUGAUCGUCCCAGUUUGCAGACAGACAGACGGGGACUCAGAGACGUGAGUAUCUCGUGCAGAUGAGAAGCUGUCCCCGCUAUGCACACUUUACCCGUUUAAUCAGCGCCACUCAGGGCGUCGCACAUCUUAAGCAGGAAGUUGUUUGGGUUUUGACAAAUGCAUAAACUCUCAUAAACACCGGCAGGUCCGCCACAGCCACGUCCUACCCCCGCACACCGGUCAGCCCAGCGUCUGCCAACCACAGAUCCACUUCCUAUACUAACGGGCUCUAGUGUCAGAGAUAUGAAACCCAACAGCAUGAACGCUGCUGUGUCUUCCAUGUCUACAAACUUCUUUUGCUCAGCGUGACGUUGCUGAAAUUCACGUUCCUGCUUCUAUCGGUGACCCUUUCUUGCUGCCGACCACCACUCAUUGUCCAAACGUUCCCCUCACAGACAUCUGGCUUGUUCCCUGGCCCCACUCCUACCAACGAGCCUGCUGUGACCAUUCACGUGGUGAAGUCUUUUUGAGUAUGGAUUUUCAUUCUCUUUGGUAAACAUCUAGAAACAGAA